rnacentral:rRNA from 1 species
UACGUAGGGUGCAAGCGUUGUCCGGAAUUAUUGGGCGUAAAGGGCUCGUAGGCGGUCCAUCGCGUCGGGAGUGAAAAGCUGGGGCUUAACCCCAGUCCUGCUUCCGAUACGGGUGGACUAGAGGUAGGUAGGGGAGAACGGAAUUCCUGGUGUAGCGGUGAAAUGCGCAGAUAUCGGGAAGAACACCUAUGGCGAAGGCAGCUCUCUGGGACGGUACUGACGCUGAGACGCGAAAGCGUGGGGAGCGAACAGG